ACGCCGCGUGACGGAUGACGGCCUUCGGGUUGUAAACCUCUUUCGCCAGGGAAGAAGCGUGAGUGACGGUACCUGGAGAAGAAGCACCGGCCAACUACGUGCCAGCAGCCGCGGUAAUACGUAGGGUGCGAGCGUUGUCCGGAAUUACUGGGCGUAAAGAGCUCGUAGGCGGUUUGUCGCGUCGUCUGUGAAAUUCUGCAACUCAAUUGCAGGCGUGCAGGCGAUACGGGCAGACUUGAGUACUACAGGGGAGACUGGAAUUCCUGGUGUAGCGGUGAAAUGCGCAGAUAUCAGGAGGAACACCGGUGGCGAAGGCGGGUCUCUGGGUAGUAACUGACGCUGAGGAGCGAAAGCGUGGGGAGCGAACAGGAUUAGAUACCCUGGUAGUC
rnacentral:rRNA from 1 species